UACGUAGGGCGCAAGCGUUAUCCGGAAUUAUUGGGCGUAAAGAGCUCGUAGGCGGUUCGUCGCGUCGGCUGUGAAAACCCGGAGCUCAACUCCGGGCCUGCAGUCGAUACGGGCAGACUAGAGUGCGGUAGGGGUGACUGGAAUUCCUGGUGUAGCGGUGGAAUGCGCAGAUAUCAGGAGGAACACCGAUGGCGAAGGCAGGUCACUGGGCCGCAACUGACGCUGAGGAGCGAAAGCAUGGGGAGCGAACAGG
rnacentral:rRNA from 1 species